rnacentral:rRNA from 1 species
GACGAACGCUGGCGGCGUGCUUAACACAUGCAAGUCGAACGGAAAGGCCCUGCUUUUGUGGGGUGCUCGAGUGGCGAACGGGUGAGUAACACGUGAGUAACCUGCCCUUGACUUUGGGAUAACUUCAGGAAACUGGGGCUAAUACCGGAUAGGAGCUCCUGCUGCAUGGUGGGGGUUGGAAAGUUUCGGCGGUUGGGGAUGGACUCGCGGCUUAUCAGCUUGUUGGUGGGGUAGUGGCUUACCCAGGCUUUGACGGGUAGCCGGCCUGAGAGGGUGACCGGCCACAUUGGGACUGAGAUACGGCCCAGACUCCUACGGGAGGCAGCAGUGGGGAAUAUUGCACAAUGGGCGGAAGCCUGAUGCAGCAACGCCGCGUGCGGGAUGACGGCCUUCGGGUUGUAAACCGCUGUCGCCUGUGACGAAGCGUGAGUGACGGUAAUGGGUAAAGAAGCACCGGCUAACUACGUG